GAGGCUCUGACGGUUCGCGAGGCCGGGGAGGCUACCUCCCACCCCCCGUGAGCCUGCGAGGAGAGGAGGCGCGCGCCGCGUGGGGCGGACUCCACCUGCCUGCGGACAGAUGCAGGGUCACCGUGUUCCGCGGACACCCGGGCACGCGAUGUGAGAGAGGCUGUGAGACGGAACGGCCGGUUUCGGGUCCCUGCCGGCUGCCCUGCUGUUUCUCCAGCAGAGGCAAACUGUCGGGAGAUAAUGUACAGCUCCCCUGCCCAGCUGUGCCCUGGCAACCCCACGGAAGGAAGCCUGCCGCAGAAGAAGUGACUUUCAGGAUGAUGAAGUGAAACAGGUGACAUUCACAUCUCUUCAAGGAGGUCUAAGGAAAAACAGCAAAGCCAAGCAUAUUAAAAUACGAAGAUUAAAAAAAGAGUACAAACCUUCAAAGGGAAAAGCCAGGACAUUUAGCUGCAUCAACAGAACACCAGAAUUCUGCUGCCAGACCCAGGCACUGCGGGACCCACGGGUUACCGUGCAGACAUGGCCAAGUCCAAGAACCACACGACACACAACCAGUCCCGCAAAUGGCACAGAAAUGGCAUCAAGAAACUAAAGUCACAAAGAUAGGAAUCUCUUAAGGGGGUUGACCCCAAGUUCCUGAGGAACAUUAUGCUUUGCCAAGAAGCACAACAAGAAAGGCCUGAAGAAGAUGCAGGCCAACAAUGCAAAGGCAGUGAGUGCACGCGCAGAGGCCAUCAAGGCACUGGUGAAGCCUCAGGCCAUCAAGCCCAAGAUGUCAAAGGGUCCCAGCCACAAACUCAGCCGCCUGGCUUUCAUCGCUCACCCCAAGCUUGGGAAGCAGAUUCGAAGCUACAUGGCCGAGGGUCAGAGGCUCUGUUAACAGAAGCCUAAGGUCCAAACCAAGGCAGGGGCCAAAGCUCCAGCUAAGGCCCAGGCUUCAGCUCCAGCCCAGGCUCCCAAAGGUGCCCAGGCCCCUGUGAAGGCCCCGUAGAAAAGGCUCCUGCCAGCCUGAAGAUGGACUGCUGUGACACACCUACCUACACAUUAUUUGCAGAUGACCAGUGUCCUAUGCUGUUUUUACAAAAAAACUUGAGGCAAGAUCUGUUAAAAAAAAAUUCUGCUAUAUUCUGUUGCUAGAUGAUUCAUUUCAUUAUACUUUUUCCAACAAGAUCUCAUGUUUUCAAAACCAUUUGUCUGCUAAGCAAACUGCAUUCACUAUGGAAUAAUUAAAUUUCUAUUUUUAGUCAUAUAUAACACCUAAUUAGAUAUCCAUAACCCCUAAGUAGAGAAUUGAAAUCAACAUAUGUUGAAAACUGUAAGUCAAAAGUAGGGCCAGGUAAUAAGCAUCGUUAGAAUUUUCACUGGGCUUCUUCUAUAUUUAAAACAUCUUACAAACCCACACCCCAUAUUUUUUUUCAAAGCUUUAACAUAUGUAUCUUGUAAAGAAAAUAAAACACACAAUUUAUCUUUUUCAUAUAAAAGUCUUACCAGCUUUUUGUAGUUCAGUAACUGAAAGUGAAUUAGCUUUUGUGGAGGAACAAGUUAGGAAAUUAUUUUACCAUAGUGAUAUUUUGAAAAUCUGGUAAGUAGGGUUUUUGUCAUUGUUGAUGAUGAAACACUCAUGUAGCCCAAGCUGACCUUAAACUUGCUGGGUGGCUGGGGAUGACCUCGGAAUUUCUGAUCCUCCUGUCUCUACCUCCAAACAACUGGGUUACAGGCAUGCACGCAGUUUGUGCAAUGCUGGGGAUAAAGCCAAGGAUGUUGUGCAUGCUAGCAAGCACUCCACCAACUGAGCCAUGGCCCCAAAAUACACUCAUUUUAUUGUUUUCUGCUCUUUUUUUGUUUGUUUUUGUUUUUGUUUUUUGAGACAGGGUUUCUCAGUGUAGCCCUGCUUGUCCUGGAACUCACUCUGUAGACCAGCCUGGCCUCGAACUCAGAAAUCUGCCUGCCUCUGCCUCCCAAGUGCUGGGAUUAAAGGCAUGUGCCACCACUGCCCGGCUUAGUUACUUAUUUUUAAGUAUAAUUCAGUGUCACCAGUGUCCUGCUCUUUUUUUAGGACUUGUAAUUAAACUCAGGAACUGCAGCAUGUUAGGCAUCAAGCUAUAUCCUCUCUGCAAAUAAAACUUUCUUUUUUUAAAAUUGACACUAUUGUGUAACCUUUGAUCCUGCAUUUAUGAGAUGCUAUAUAUAACAUGACCUACUAGUCAAACCCAAUUUAUCCACAAAAGUCUCUGUACUUAUUCUGUACUUCUUAAAUAAUUGUAAUCAUUUUCAACAGCAUAUGUUCCUCCAAAGUAAUUUCUGCCGAGAGAAAUAGGAAUAUGUAAAUAUUUUAUGUACAUAAAAUGAACACUCACUCAUGUACUUAGAAAUGUCUGAAAUAAACUAAUGAUACUUCUCAGGCUGUUGCUUUGAGAAUACUUCCUG
rnacentral:lncRNA from 1 species